CAUGCNNCCCAUUGCCGCAAGGCAAACCGCACUUGCUUCANUNCCACGUGGUUAAUCUACCCUCAAGUCUGGGAUAACUCCGGGAAACUGGAGAUAAUACCGGAUAGGCAAAAGAUACUGGAAGGUUCUUUUGCCCAAAGCUUCGGCGCUUGAGGAUGGGACUGCGUCGGAUUAGCUUGUUGUCGGGGUAAUUGCCCGACGAGGCGAUAAUCCGUACGGGUUGUGAGAGCAAUAGCCCGGAGAUGGAUUCUGAGACAUGAAUCCAGGUCCUACGGGACGCAGCAGGCGCGAAACCUUCGCAAUGCCUGAAAGGGUGACGAGGGAACUCUGAGUGACUUCGCAAUGCGGAGUCUUUUGCCGAGUGUAAAAAGCUCGGAGAAUAAGUGGUGGGCAAGACAGUUGACAGCCGCCGCGGUAAUAACUGCGCCACGAGUGGUGGUCUCGAUUAUUGGGCUUAAAGUGUCCGUAGCCGGCCUUACAAGCAUCUGGUGAAAUCCGGCAGUAAACUGUCGGGCUGGCUANAUGACUGUAAGGCUAGGGACCGGGAGGGCCGGGAGUACUCCUAGGGUNGGGUUAAUCCUUUAUCUAGGGGACUCCAGUGG
rnacentral:rRNA from 1 species